GAUGAACGCUGGCGGCGUGCCUAGCACAUGCAAGUCGAACGGAGAUUACGGACGGAAGUUUUCGGAUGGAAGCCUGUAAUUCUUAGUGGCGGACGGGUGAGUAACGCGUGGGCAACCUGCCCUAUACAGGGGGAUAGCAGCUGGAAACGGCUGGUAAGACCGCAUAAGUCGGUUAAAUCGCAUGAUUUGAUCGGGAAAUGAGCAAUCAGGUAUAGGAUGGGCCCGCGUCCGAUUAGCCAGUUGGCAGGGUAAAAGCCUACCAAAGCGACGAUCGGUAGCCGGACUGAGAGGUCGGACGGCCACAUUGGGACUGAGACACGGCCCAAACUCCUACGGGAGGCAGCAGUGGGGGAUAUUGCACAAUGGAGGAAACUCUGAUGCAGCGACGCCGCGUGAGUGAAGAAGUAUUUCGGUAUGUAAAGCUCUAUCAGCAGGGAAGAUGAUGACGGUACCUGACGAAGAAGCCCCGGCUAACUACGUG
rnacentral:rRNA from 1 species